GCGAAAACUUUACAAUGCUGGCAACAGCGAUAAGGGAACCUCGAGUGCCAGGUUACAAAUCUGGCUGUCGAGAUGCCUAAAAAGCAUUUCAUAGCAAGUGCCGGGCAAGACCGGUGCCAGCCGCCGCGGUAACACCGGCGGCUCGAGUGGUAACCGUUAUUAUUGGGUCUAAAGGGUCUGUAGCCGGCCGGAUAAGUCUCUUGAGAAAUCUGGCAGCUUAACUGUCAGGCUUUCAGGAGAUACUGUCUGGCUCGAGGCCGGGAGAGGUGAGAGGUACUUCAGGGGUAGGGGUGAAAUCUUGUGAGCCCUGAAGGACUACCAGUGGCGAAGGCGUCUCACCAGAACGGGACUGACGGCAAGGGGCGAAAGCUAGGGGCACGAACA
rnacentral:rRNA from 1 species